AAACCUACCAGCAGCGUACGUGACAUCCGCAGUGGCCCUGGCUGAGGUUUCGCUGUGAUUAGAGAAUGAGGGUAGCAGCGGGUUGUUGUUUGCUGAUUAGACUUUUCACAGAACGCUGAGCAUGAGGGAUCCUCGGUGCCAAGCUCUGCUUCGAGGGAGAUCCCUGUUUAGCCAAAUGGCGGUCUGUUGGCUCCUUAAGAUUUCUCAGAAUAUGGACGGAGCCUUGAAGAUGACAUUCGCUCUGACACAUCGUUCAUGUUCCAGCGAGUGCUGGUGUCUCUGUCAGCUAUGACGUGAUGAUGACAACGAUGAUGGGAGUGAUGUGACUGGAGCUGCACUUUCAGAAGAGUAAUGUAAUAGUGACGUGUAGGAUGAA
rnacentral:lncRNA from 10 species